GAUGAACGCUGGCGGUGUGCCUAAUACAUGCAAGUCGAACGAAACUUCUUUAUCACCGAGUGCUUGCACUCACCGAUAAAGAGUUGAGUGGCGAACGGGUGAGUAACACGUGGGCAACCUGCCCAAAAGAGGGGGAUAACACUUGGAAACAGGUGCUAAUACCGCAUAACCAUAGUUACCGCAUGGUAACUAUGUAAAAGGUGGCUAUACUACCGCUUUUGGAUGGGCCCGCGGCGCAUUAGCUAGUUGGUAGGGUAAAGGCUUACCAAGGCAAUGAUGCGUAGCCGAAUUGAGAGGUUGAUCGGCCACAUUGGGACUGAGACACGGCCCAAACUCCUACGGGAGGCAGCAGUAGGGAAUCUUCCACAAUGGGCGAAAGCCUGAUGGAGCAACGCCGCGUGGGUGAAGAAGGUCUUCGGAUCGUAAAACCCUGUUGUUAGAGAAGAAAGUGCGUGAGAGUAACUGUUCACGUUUCGACGGUAUCUAACCAGAAAGCCACGGCUAACUACGUG
rnacentral:rRNA from 1 species